rnacentral:rRNA from 1 species
UGCUGAAUUGACGAUGGAUCACCAGUGAGUGGCGGACGGGUGAGUAACACGUAGGUAACCUGCCCCGGAGCGGGGAAUAACAUUUGGAAACAGAUGCUAAUACCGCAUAACAACAAAAGCCGCAUGGUUUUUCUGGAAAGAUGGCUUUGGCUAUCACUCUGGGAUGGACCUGCGGUGCAUUUAGCUAGUUGGUAAGGUAACGGCUUACCCAAGGCGAUGAUGCAUAGCCGAGUUGAGAGACUGAUCGGCCACAAUGGGAACUGAGACACGGUCCAUAACUUCUACGGGAGGCAGCAGUAGGGAAUCUUCCACAAUGGGCGCAAGCUGAUGGAGCAACACCGCGUUAUUAAGAAAGGGUUUCGGCCGCUUAAACUCUGUUGUUGGAGAAGAACGUGCGUUAGAGUAACUGUUACGCAGUGACGGUAUCCAACCAGAAAGUCACGGCUAACUACGUGCCAGCAGCCGCGGUAAUACGUAGGUGGCAAGCGUUAUCCGGAUUUAUUGGGCGUAAAGCGAGCGCAGGCGGUUGCUUAGGUCUGAUGUGGAAACUCGGCUUAACCGAAGAAGUGCAUCGGAAACCGGGCGACUUGAGUGCAGAAGAGGACAGUGGAACUCCAUGUGUAGCGGUGGAAUGCGUAGAUAUAUGGAAGAACACCAGUGGCGAAGGCGGCUGUCUGGUCUGCAACUGACGCUGAGGCUCGAAAGCAUGGGUAGCGAACAGGAUUAGAUACCCUGGUAGUCCAUGCCGUAAACGAUGAGUGCUAGGUGUUGGAGGGUUUCCGCCCUUCAGUGCCUGUUCUAACGCAUUAAUGCACUCCGCCUGGGGAGUACGACCGCAAGGUUGAAACUCAAAGGAAUUGACGGGGGCCCGCACAAGCGGUGAAGCAUGUGGUUUAAUUCGAAGCUACGCGAAGAACCUUACCAGGUCUUGACAUCUUGCGCUAACCUUAGAGAUAAGGCGUUCCCUUCGGGGACGUUAAUGACAGGUGGUGCAUGGUCGUCGUCAGCUCGUGUCGUGAGAUGUUGGGUUAAGUCCCGCAACGAGCGCAACCCUUGUUACUAGUUGCCAGCAUUAAGUUGGGGACUCUAGUGAGAC